rnacentral:rRNA from 1 species
UACGGGGGGAGCAAGCGUUGUUCGGAUUUACUGGGCGUAAAGCGUGCGCAGGCGGCUAUGCAAGACAGAUGUGAAAUCCCCGGGCUCAACCUGGGAACUGCAUUUGUGACUGCAUGGCUAGAGUACGGGUAGAGGGGGGAUGGAAUUCCGCGUGUAGCAGUGAAAUGCGUAGAUAUGCGGAGGAACACCGAUGGCGAAGGCAAUCCCCUGGACCUGUACUGACGCUCAUGCACGAAAGCGUGGGGAGCAAACAGG